AACACCCGUUUCAAGCUGAAUAAGACAUUCAUCAUCGACAAGACGUUAAUCGAAGAGAUUUCAUUGACAAUGGACUUGAAAACUGAAUUGCAAGGAGGAGUGAGUGUGAAAGUAGAGGAGGUUACAUUUAUAUCGUCUACGAACACCGCCGCAACCGCUGGUUCAUCGUCUUCAUCUUCUUCGCCGCGGCCGAGGGAAGGGUUGCAUGAGGUAGGUCCUCCGCCGUUCCUGACGAAAACUUUCGACAUGGUGGAAGAUCCAUCAACUGAUUCGGUGGUUUCGUGGAGUAGAGGAAGGAAUAGUUUUGUUGUUUGGGAUUCUCAUAAGUUUUCCACUACUCUGCUUCCGAGGUAUUUUAAGCAUGGGAAUUUUUCUAGCUUUAUCCGUCAGCUCAAUACUUAUGGAUUUAGAAAAGUGGAUCCAGACAGGUGGGAAUUUGCAAAUGAAGGGUUUCUCGGAGGUCAAAGGCAACUUCUAAAAACAAUCAGAAGAAGAAGAAACAUAUCCCAAUCCACUCAACAAAAGCAUGAUUUUGGCCCAUGUAUCGAAGUAGGUCAAUACGGAAUCGAGGAAGAACUCGAAGGACUCAAAAGAGACAGAAGCUUAUUAAUGGCAGAAAUCGUACGUCUAAGGCAACUUCAACAACAUUCAAAAGACCAACUCAUAGCCAUGGAAAACAGAUUAAGAUCCACCGAAAGAAAACAACACAACAUGAUGGGAUUUCUCGCAAAAGCAUUUUCAAAUCCCGAAUUCCUUCAAAAAUACAUGGCUAAAUACGCACACAGGGAACAAGAACACAUUGAAAUUGGUCGUAAAAGAAGGUUAACAAUGGUGCCAAGCUUUGAGAAUCUACAAGAAGUUGAUGAUGGUCUGGAUUCAUUUCUUGCGACCCCUGUUGAAGAUGAAUCAAGCAGCGAUGUGGGAAAUCAAGAUGUUUCAAGCUUAUUGGAAGAUGAUUCGAAUUUAUGGGAAGAACUAUUGAAGAUUGAAAAACACCCUGAAGAUGUUCUUGAUGAUUUAGAUGGUCAACAGCUUGAAUGGGAUGAGGAUUUGCAAGAAUUAGUGGAUCAAAUGGAGUAUUUAAGGUCAUCCAGUGCUUAAAUUAUUGAGAUUUUAUUGUUUGUGGCCUUGUGGGUGUCUGCAAGUCCACGUCUUCUUUAGUACAAGUCAGAGAUGCAUAUGGAUAUGAUUCAUUAGUAUCUCUGUGCUGAAGAGAUUGUGGAUUUGCAAGGAGGCCAAAGCUGCUGGUUUCUUGUAUCCUUUUGUCGUUUUUAUAUUCUAUUUACUGGCAUUUCUUUUUUAUUUUCUUAUUUUGGGACAAAAAAGCCCUUGAUUUAUUACCUCUGUUUCUUGCAGGGGCCAAAGAAACAAGAAACAGAAGUUGGAGGGGUAAUAUUAGAGCUGAAAGAGAAGUUGGAGGGGUCAACUUUUUUUCUUUUGACAGUCUUGAAGUUUUUGUCCCAUAUUUUUACCACGUAAAAAUGUUGUAAUUUUUGUUUUGUUCAUAUAAUAGAAUGUUAUUUUUUUAUGAUGAGGGUUUUAGAGGUAUAGUGGUGUGUAUAAAUUUUAGAUGGAAUGGAAGUUUUUUUAUUUGUUGUUCUAUUAA